CAGAUCCUGUAUCGAAUUGCAAAUAUGAUAAGGGCUUCCGGUAUCUAAUACCCAGGCAGUAGUAUCACAAAUGAAAAAGUUGCAAGGUCUUAUCAUAUAAGUACCUUGCUUCUUCUUCGGUCUGUUCGGGUCCAGUGAGGCAAUGUAUAGAGGACAGUUCCUCUUCCAAUACCCCUGCUUCUUGCAAAAGAAGCACUCCACCUGGCUU
rnacentral:lncRNA from 1 species